rnacentral:lncRNA from 1 species
AGUAAGAGAAUGUGACAAGAUAAAUUCAACGAGAGAAUUUGUCUUAGUGCUUAUUUUUCAUAUUAUAAAACGAUCUCAAUGUUUUAUGAGAAAGUCACCCAAAAAAAUCUAUUUCUUUUAUUUAUAUUGCUUUAGUGCUUGAAUCUUGUAAAUGUUUUUCUUAUUUUUGAGAGGAGAUGAUUAUUUUUUAUUUGAAGUUUUUUUUCCUUUUAAUAAAAC